CCAGACUCCUACGGGAGGCAGCAGUGGGGAAUAUUGCACAAUGGGCGAAAGCCUGAUGCAGCAACGCCGCGUGAAGGAAGAAGGCCUUCGGGUCGUAAGCUUCUGUCCUUGGGGAAGAAGAACUGACGGUACCCAAGGAGGAAGCCCCGGCUAACUACGUGCCAGCAGCCGCGGUAAUACGUAGGUGGCAAGCGUUGUCCGGAUUUACUGGGUGUAAAGGGCGUGCAGCCGGGAAGACAAGUCAGAUGUGAAAUCCCGCGGCUCAACCGCGGAACUGCAUUUGAAACUGUUUUUCUUGAGUAUCGGAGAGGUAAUCGGAAUUCCUAGUGUAGCGGUGAAAUGCGUAGAUAUUAGGAAGAACACCAGUGGCGAAGGCGGAUUACUGGACGACAACUGACGGUGAGGCGCGAAAGCGUGGGGAGCAAACAGGAUUAGAUACCCGUGUA
rnacentral:rRNA from 1 species